CAGACUCCCAAGCACCUGCCCAUCCCACUCCAUAGCCCAGCCCCCCACUCUCAUCUACCAUAUGCCCAUCCCAGUAAGCAAGCCAACCACUAGAAUUUGACUGACAUGCACCUUGUGACUUACAUAAACCAGACCUCUACAUAGCCUACAUGUCUUCAUUUUGCUGAAGACUGCCCAUCAUCCUAGCCUGUUAUCUGUGAUAAAGCACACUGAAGUUAGGUAUGGAAUGCAUCCUUAUCAUUGCAGGCUUCCUACACAUGAAUGCUCUACACCUCCAUCUCCAUCUCCCACAACCUAGGUAACAGCUUUGAGACUCACUAAAAGUUGAAUCCCAGAACCCCCUGAAUGAUGUAGGCUAUGGGGCCACAUAAGACUUUGUCCAGGGUUACAUAGCACGACAACUUUAAACUAAAAAACCAACAUUUUUCACACAACUCCAGGUUGUACUACACAUUACAAGUGUCAUCAAGGGAUAACUACAAGUAGAAGCACCAUUUUUGGAUGGAAAAAACCCUUCAGGAAAGUAUAUGUAUCAAAUGUAACAUGUAGUAAUGUACCAAAGGAUGAAAAGUAAGGUUUUUACAUACAGUAUGUACAUACGUACAUAACUUUUUUUAUUAGGAAUUUCCAACCAAGUUUGAUUACAUGUUAUAAACCACUGUACGUAUGGUUAUACUGUAUGUAACUUACUAACAUACAUGACUUAACUUAGAUAAUUUUUUGGUACAUUCCAGAAUCCCAGAACCCCCUGAAUGAUGUAGGCUAUGGGGCCACAUAAAACAUAGCACGACAACU